GACGAACGCUGGCGGCGUGCUUAUCACAUGCAAGUCGAACGGAAAGGCCCUGCUUUUGUGGGGUGCUCGAGUGGCGAACGGGUGAGUAACACGUGAGUAACCUGCCCUUGACUUUGGGAUAACUUCAGGAAACUGGGGCUAAUACCGGAUAGGAGCUCCUGCUGCAUGGUGGGGGUUGGAAAGUUUCGGCGGUUGGGGAUGGACUCGCGGCUUAUCAGCUUGUUGGUGGGGUAGUGGCUUACCAAGGCUUUGACGGGUAGCCGGCCUGAGAGGGUGACCGGCCACAUUGGGACUGAGAUACGGCCCAGACUCCUACGGGAGGCAGCAGUGGGGAAUAUUGCACAAUGGGCGGAAGCCUGGUGCAGCAACGCCGCGUGCGGGAUGACGGCCUUCGGGUUGUAAACCGCUUUCGCCUGUGACGAAGCGUGAGUGACGGUAAUGGGUAAAGAAGCACCGGCUAACUACGUG
rnacentral:rRNA from 1 species